rnacentral:rRNA from 1 species
AUACGUAGGGAGCGAGCGUUGUCCGGAAUUACUGGGUGUAAAGGGAGCGUAGGCGGGAGUGCAAGUCAGAUGUGAAAUACAUGGGCUCAACCCAUGGGCUGCAUUUGAAACUGCAUUUCUUGAGUGAAGUAGAGGUAAGCGGACUUCCUGGUGUAGCGGGGAAAUGCGUAGAUAUCAGGAGGAACACCGGUGGCGAAGGCGGCUUACUGGGCUUUUACUGACGCUGAGGCUCGAAAGCGUGGGGAGCAAACAGGAUUAGAUACCCUGGUAGUCCACGCUGUAAACGAUGAUUACUAGGUGUGGGGGGACUGACCCCUUCCGUGCCGCAGUUAACACAAUAAGUAAUCCACCUGGGGAGUACGGCCGCAAGGUUGAAACUUAAAGGAAUUGACGGGG